CGACUCUACAUAACUCAUUCUAAAUCUAUCAAUCACUGUGAGUCUGUCGGUCUCCUCUAGUCAUUGACGCCACCAGACAAGUCCACCAUAAGUCUUCUAGUCCGAAAGCGCCAUUAGAAUCAGCUCCCCUACGUCCCUAACUCUCUGCUCGCACAUCGAUCUAUUGUUCUAACUUUCUAAGGUAAAAACCUAACCUUCUAUUUUCGACUAUAUGUUGUGAUAAAGGGUGUGGCGGCUAUAUGUUACGACUAGUUGAAGUCUAAUUAUAUAUUCUGAUAAAGGGUAUGAAACUCUAAUUGUUGCUUGUUCAUCACCACGUCCUUGGAUUUAGCUCUAUUAGUGUCUUGAAUGUCAGUCAAUUUGUUGGAUUCAAGAAGAUUUUCUAUGGGGUUCAAGGAUUCAACAACCAUGAUGGCUUCGUUUUUUGGAGGCAUUGAAAAUCAAAACCAGAGCUGGAGCUUGUUCUCUAGCUUUCUCCAAUACUGCUUCUUAGCCUUCUCUUUCUCCAGUUUCUAUGGUUUGAUUCUUGUCCAAUAAUGCUAUUUCUUGACCUUUAGAAUUGGAAUUAGAGACAAGAUCAUCUGCUCAUUCUUGUGUCUUCUCGAAUGCUACUUCUGAGUGUCUUUAUUGGUCAAUUUGAUUGUGCACUACUGUGUAGAUAUUAUUUCUAAUGCUAUAGAAGUUGGUGCUUCAGAAAUUGCAUCAUCUUCAUCCAUUGUAUUUGGGCUACGAAUAUCAUAACCAGAGCUGGAGGCUUAUUCUCUAGCUUUCUCCAAUGCUGCUUUUUCGCCCUCUUUUUCUCCAGCUUCUAUGAUCUGAUUCUUGUUCAAUAAUGCUAUUUUUUGACCUUUAAAAUUGAAAUUAGAGAUAGAAUCAUCUUUCCGUUCUUUUGUUUUCUCGAGUACAGCUUCUGAGUGUUUUUGUUGGUCAGCUUGAUUAUGCACUUUACUGUGUAGAUAUUUUUUUCAAUAAUGUAGAAGUUGGUGCUUCAGAAAUUGCAUAUCUUCAUCCAUUUAUCAGUUUUUUAGGCUGCUAAUAUCCUAAUCAUUUAAAGAUUACCCUUUCAACAAAUAAUUAAGUAUAAAAUGCCAUCAAUCGAGGCUGCUAAUAUCCUAAUCAUUUAAAGAUUACCCUUUCAACAAAUAAUUAAGUAUAAAAUGCCAUCAAUUGGAGUCAAAAAAUGAAUAUUUGAAUUUAUUAAGAUCUCUAACCUUCAUUUCUUUUGAUGUUGCAAAUUUAUAUUCAAUCUCUAGGUCAUCUUUCGAAUCAAUUGACAAUGCAAAACAUAUUGUAUAAAAUGGACAAAUCUAAGGUAAUUGUGUUUUCUUAUAUUUAGGUAAGGUUUUUGUUAAGGUUUCGAAAAUAAUUUCAUUUUAACUUUGUUUUCACGUUGCAUUGUUAAAGUUAACUAUGCGAGCUUCCAAGAAGUUUAAACGACGGAGAGCUACAAUUGUUGUGGCAAUUUGAGAGACCAAUAAGAGACUACAGCUGUCAAGCGAACCAGAAAAUUCUAUAUCUACUCCAAUUAAUGAUAAGCAAAACACGCAGCCUACAAAUGCAAAUGUAGAAGCUCCGAAAAAGGAAAGGUGUCCAACUCAAGUGAAAAUGAUUCCUGGAAAUAGUUAUUAGAACAUGGAUCUCGAAUUCAAUGAGUAUGGGCAAGUAGUUGGCCGUAACUCAGAUAAAUUUGCUAAUGUAGUUAGAGCCAUGGUACGAGAACAUAUGCUUGCUGUAAUUAAAGAUUGACAUUCGGUUGAUGGGAAGUAAAAAAUGAAACUUUGGAAUUUCGUACAGGUAUAUCUCUUAUCUACCUUUUAAGAUUAUUACAUUAUAUUCUUUUCAGACUUUAAUUUAUUUUUGUAUACAAGUACAACAAAUGUUCAAUGUGAGUGAUUAUUAUCAAAAAAUAACAAUUCAAUGUAUGGGAAAGUAUUGAAGGACAUUUAAGUCAAGACUGAAAAAACAAAUCAAAACUCAAGUCGAAUCAUACGUGAAUAGAGCUUGCACUAUGGCCUUUCUUAGACCGAAGAAUGUUAAAUCUGAACAAGCAUGGGAAAAUUUUGUCAAGGAUAUGCUUUCUGCUGACUUUCGUGUAAGUAUAUUUACAUACGAGGCUUCAACUUUUUAUAAUUACUUUACAUUAUUAAUAUUUGGUAUUCGUAAUAGGAAAAAAGUUUCAAGUUUAGCAGCAUGAGAACAUCUCAGAAGCUUGUCCACAAUAUGGGUUGAAAGGGUUAUCCAUGCCCAUGAAAUGGUAGAAUUACAAACAUAUCUAAUCUUCUUAUUUGAAUUGUCACACUCUAAUUUAUGUAAUUACUAGAUUUUUAUUGCAGGGGAAAAAUAUUCUAGAUAUAAAAUGAUUGAGAACUAGAGUAUAGACUCAUGGAUAUCUUAGAAAAGAUGGAAAAUCGAUAAAUUACAGUUGCUGAAACUUUAGUAUGUGUAUUAUAUCAAUGUUCAACUAAGAUUAAUUUGAUUUACUAUAUGUACCACUUGUUAAUAUAAAAUUUGAGUUCCAUGACUAAAGAAAAUGAUUGAAGUGUGUGCCCAAUCAAUUUCUGAUACACCAGCAGAAUCCCCAUUCGAGAUGAUGCUGUUGCUCGAUUUUUAGGUCCUGGACGCCAUGGAAGAGUUAGAGGACUUGGAUUUAAAGAUCCAUCAUCAAAAGUGGAUAGAAAAAUUCAAAAUAAUAUAAGAGUUAGAGAACUUCAAAGUCAACCACAAACUCAUUAAGAAAGGGGGGCAUUAGAAGAAAAGUUUGAAGUACUUCUCAAACUAUCUCAACAGGUUAUAAUCUGACCAUUAUAUAUACUGUGGUAAUAGUGCUUAAUACAGUCAAUUACAUGUAAAUUUACUUUUAUAAUUUUUGUAUCAUCUUACAUGAAUAUAGAGGAUAGGAGUUCAUGUGCUUUUAUUCCCCAGGUUUUUGUAUCCUACAUUAUUAAAUGUUUGUUGAAUUUGUAGACGCACCAAGGAAGUGGUGUCCAAGGAGGUACUGCACACCUGAAAAAUGCAAGGUGUUAACUAUUGCAUUGGUACGUUUUUUAGGAGGAAGAAAUUAUAGCGGAAGGGAAGAUUGUAACAACAGACCUAAGUGCAAAUGUGCAUCACUUGCCACUCGAACGAGACUGUUGGAAGGUUUGGAUUAAAGAGGUGUAUAUGGGUGAUUUAACCUCUAUAAAGACCUACACAUGAACUUAGAACUCUUAGUGAUGCCAUGAGAAGUACUGUUGAUUGGCCAAAGAGCAGUAUUAAACUUAUUUGAUGAAAGUAUAUUUCGUAGACUAAUUACAUACAUGUAUGAAUCUAUUUUUAUUUUCAAAAUCAAUUGUAGUUCUAUUUACACAUGAGUUAUGAAUCAAACUUUGUUAUAAUUUCAUAGAGUUCUCAGUAGCAUGCAAUCAUUGAUAGUUUUUUAGGAUGUACUCUUUUGCUUGGUACUACUUUCUUUAUCAAAUGGAUUUCAAUGUUUCGCUCUAUUGAUAUGCUUGGGGAAACAGGACAUGAUUAUAUUUCAUUUUCCUUGUAGGUAAAAUCAAGCAGAGCUCCUACAUUUGUACAGGGUAGGGGCGAAUUCUGUUAAUAUAUUAAUAGUGCAAGAAAAAAAAAGACAUUUGUUUCCAUUUUGUAUUUUGUAUGAGUAAAAAAUAUGUAAUGAAAUUUUAAUUUCUGUUUCAUGCACUAUAAAAAAGAUCUUUAAUU
rnacentral:lncRNA from 1 species